UACGGAGGGUGCGAGCGUUGUCCGGAAUCACUGGGCGUAAAGGGCGCGUAGGCGGUCUGAUAAGUAGGGGGUGAAAUCUUGCGGCUUAACCGCAAGGCUGCCUUCUAAACUGUCAGGCUAGAGCACAGUAGAGGCAGGUGGAAUUCCCGGUGUAGCGGUGGAAUGCGUAGAGAUCGGGAAGAACAUCAGUGGCGAAGGCGGCUUGCUGGGCUGUUGCUGACGCUGAGGCGCGACAGCGUGGGGAGCAAACAGG
rnacentral:rRNA from 1 species